rnacentral:rRNA from 1 species
CCUUCGGGUUGUAAAGCACUUUUGGCGGGGAAGAAAAGCCUUGGGUUAAUACCCUGAGGCGCUGACGGUACCUGCAGAAUAAGCACCGGCUAACUACGUGC